rnacentral:lncRNA from 1 species
CCUUGAUGUAGAUGUCUCAUAGCUCACAAAGGAGCAGGGCUAUUUAAAUAUUCAGGGAGCAAGCAGUGCCAGUGAGAGCAGAAGAGACCUUCCCCUUUAAAUGGGUGAAGGCCCAAUCUGCUCCAAAUGUAAAGAGGGAAAGGAGACAAGAAACCUGCUGUGGAAUAGGGUACGUGGCAAAACUCAAAGAGAGAUCUGAGAAGGACAGAAAGCAGGCAAAUCUCAAAAAUGUCUACUACUAAAAAAUCUGGGAAAAUUAUUAGUAAUAAAAUGAAAAAUGGAGCAGUAAUGCAAAAUCCCAUUGCUCUGCCCCGUUAUUGUGGCCCAAUUUCUGAUUAGAAGGAUUGGCAGUUCAUAUCAAUCAAACCUUUAAUUUUUUCUUCCCUUAUUUUUCCCGUUCUCCUCCUACGAUUAAGUUACAAGGAAUUUAUUUUAUUACUUAGGCACAAGUACAGUUUGAAAAAAAAAAAAAUAACAAUAAGGUAAUUUUUGUCUUUUUUCUCAUCAUGAAAUUAUUAUUCCUGGGGUUUUCUGUACCUACAGUGGGAAUAGGAGCCAAGACUCUCCUGUCAGAGCUUGCUACUAAUCCAUCAUGGUGUUGGAGAGUGAGAGGAUAGGCAGUGGUGAACAUGUUCCAGAUUGAAUAUAAGGAGAUAUAAAUUGAAUUCAUGGUUGCAUUUAUAAGGACAUAUCUGAUAAGGGCUUUGGGCCUUUGGGAGAGAGUGAGCGUUUCUCUUCAUAACACUGUAACCUUAAUCUACAGAGGAUCUUCCUUACGUUUUUUCUUAAAAUUUAACUGCGGAGCCUUAAUGGAUGUCACAUUUAGANNNNNNNNNNNNNNNNNNNNNNNNNNNNNNNNUGUGCAAAGCUGUUUGUCUCCCAGUCAGAGGCAAAUGGGAACGGCUGCUGGCAUGCCAAAGCAUUGCACUGAAGGAGACAGUCUGCAGGUAUUAGCUGGAGUGGCAAGAGCAUGGUCUGCCAAGGAACUUCUUCUGGAUAUGUCAUAUAGCAGGGAAAUUGUGAAGAACUUGCUGCUUUAAAAAGUAGUUUCAACCUCUCUGACUCUUGCAGCUUAUAAAAGCCUUAGAAAAGAGAUUGAGAACAUGAAUGGAGAGCUCACCAGGUCCAUGGGCAAUUGCUGCCAGCUCCUGGCCGCUGUGCACAGCGUCAUUUCUGUUCCUGAUUCUUUGUGGAUACAAACAUGCUUAAAUAGCUGCAAGUAAUAAAUGCUCACUUCAAGGAGGUCA